rnacentral:lncRNA from 1 species
UGUGCUGAUAAAGGCUCGCCGCUGUGACCCUGUUACCUGCAAGAACUUGGAGGUUCACAGCUAAGACGCCAGGACCCCCUGGAAGCCUAGAAAUGGACCACUGACAUUUAGGGAUGUGAAAAUAGAAUUCUCUCUAGAGGAAUGGCAAUGCCUGGACACUGCGCAGCGGAAUUUAUAUAGAGAUGUGAUGUUAGAGAACUACAGAAACCUGGUCUUCCUUGUAUGUGUUCUCAUUUUGCCCAAGAUGUUUGGCCAGAGCACAGCAUAAAAGAUUCUUUCCAAAAAGUGAUACUGAGAACAUAUGGAAAAUAUGGACAUGAGAAUUUACAGCUAAGAAAAGACCAUAAAAGUGUGGAUGCAUGUAAGGUGUACAAAGGAGGUUAUAAUGGACUUAACCAGUGUUUGACAACUACUGACAGCAAGAUAUUUCAGUGUGAUAAAUAUGUGAAAGUCUUUCAUAAAUUUCCAAAUGUAAAUAGAAAUAAGAUAAGACAUACUGGAAAGAAACCUUUCAAAUGUAAAAACCGUGGCAAAUCAUUUUGCAUGCUUUCACAAUUAACUCAACAUAAGAAAAUUCAU